AUAGGUGUAGCUCAGUGGCAGUGUGUAUGCCUAACAUGCAUGAGGCCCUAGGUUCAACUCCUAGCACCAAAA
rnacentral:tRNA from 1 species